UACGCAGGUGGCAAGCGUUGUCCGGAUUUACUGGGCGUAAAGGGUGCGUAGGCGGACAUUUAAGUCAGAUGUGAAAUACCCGAGCUUAACUUGGGUGCUGCAUUUGAAACUGAGUGUCUAGAGUGCAGGAGAGGUAAGUGGAAUUCCUAGUGUAGCGGUGAAAUGCGUAGAGAUUAGGAAGAACACCAGUGGCGAAGGCGACUUACUGGACUGUAACUGACGCUGAGGCAUGAAAGCGUGGGGAGCAAACAGG
rnacentral:rRNA from 1 species